GCUCCGGUGGCGCAAUUGGUUAGCGUGUCGUACUUAUAAGACAAGCACCUUCCCAUUGCUUACAAUGGUUAAAGAAAUGCGGAGGCCAUGAGUUCGAGCAUAAUCCGGAGCA
rnacentral:tRNA from 1 species